UAGGGAAUCUUCCACAAUGGACGCAAGUCUGAUGGAGCAACGCCGCGUGAGUGAAGAAGGUUUUCGGAUCGUAAAGCUCUGUUGUUGGUGAAGAAGGAUAGAGGUAGUAACUGGCCUUUAUUUGACGGUAAUCAACCAGAAAGUCACGGCUAACUACGUGCCGGCAGCCGCGGUAAUACGUAGGUGGCAAGCGUUGUCCGGAUGUAUUGGGCGUAAAGCGAGCGCAGGCGGAAGAAUAAGUCUGAUGUGAAAGCCCUCGGCUUAACCGAGGAACUGCAUCGGAAACUGUUUUUCUUGAGUGCAGAAGAGGAGAGUGGAAUUCCAUGUGUAGCGGUGGAAUGCGUAGAUAUAUGGAAGAACACCAGUGGCGAAGGCGACUCUCUGGUCUGCAACUGACGCUGAGGCUCGAAAGCAUGGGUAGCGAACAGG
rnacentral:rRNA from 1 species